rnacentral:rRNA from 1 species
UACAGAGGUCUCAAGCGUUGUUCGGAUUCAUUGGGCGUAAAGGGUGCGUAGGCGGCGCGGUAAGUCGGGUGUGAAAUCUUGGAGCUUAACUCCGAACUGCAUUCGAUACUGCCGUGCUUGAGGACUGGAGAGGAGACUGGAAUUUACGGUGGAGCGGUGAAAUGCGUAGAUAUCGGAAGGAACGCCGGUGGCGAAAGCGACGUGCUGGACCUUCUGACGCUGAGGCGCGAAGCCAGGGAGCAACGGGAU